rnacentral:rRNA from 1 species
CAGCAGCCACGGGAAUACGUAGGGCGCAAGCGUUGUCCGGAAUUAUUGGGCGUAAAGAGCUCGUAGGCGGUCUGUCGCGUCUGGUGUGAAAUCCCGAGGCUCAACCUCGGGCUUGCAUCGGGUACGGGCAGACUAGAGUGCGGUAGGGGAGACUGGAAUUCCUGGUGUAGCGGUGGAAUGCGCAGAUAUCAGGAGGAACACCGAUGGCGAAGGCAGGUCUCUGGGCCGCAACUGACGCUGAGGAGCGAAAGCAUGGGGAGCGAACAGGAUUAGAUACCCGCGUAGUCCCUGUCUCUUAUAC